rnacentral:tRNA from 1 species
GGGGGCGUAGCUCAAUCGGUAGAGCAGCGGCCUUUUAAGCCGUUGGUUCGGAGUUCAAGUCUCCGCGCCCCCA